AAUAUUGGACAAUGGGGGGAACCCUGAUCCAGCCAUGCCGCGUGUGUGAAGAAGGUCUUCGGAUUGUAUAGCACUUUAAGUUGGGAGGGCGAGUUGUGGGCUACUAGCUUGCAUUUUUGACGUUCACAACAGAAAUAGCACCGGCUUACUUCGUGCGAGCAGCCGCGGUAAUACGAAGGGGGGAAGAGUUAAUCGGAAGUAGUGGGCGUAAGGCGCGAGUAGGUGGUUCAGUAAGAUUGAAGUGAAAUCCCCGGGCUUAACCUGGGAACUGCUUUCAUAACUGCUAAGCUAGAGUACGGUAGAGGGUAGUGGAAUUUCCUGUGUAGCGGUGAAAUGCGUAGAUAUAGGAAGGAACACCAGUGGCGAAGGCGACUACCUGGACUGAUACUGACACUGAGGUGCGAAAGCGUGGGGAGCAAACAGG
rnacentral:rRNA from 1 species